GGGCUGUUUCCUGUUCCUGCUCCUGCUUUAUUUUCUGUCCUGGACGCUGGGAGGAACCACCUUUCGGCAGCUCCUGGACACUGGAAAAACUCCGACCUGUGCAAACCCUCUCUCCCCUCCCCGUCAGCUCCCUCUUUUGGGGGGGAGGUGCGGCCCCUGGCCCCCUUCAGAUGACAUAAUGGUAUGAAUAUUCAUCGCUAAAGUUUUCUCCCCAUUUUGUAACUAUAACAUGGAGUCAAACAGAUCAGGAUAUAGUUUACAAAUCCCAGGAAAGUGUUAUCCGAAUGAGUGACUACAAGGAUUGCUCAUGGCUAAUAUUUCUACUUGCACUAUGUAAGAACAAGGCUUAUGUUUUCCUCAUGCAUCUCAGCAACACUUUCUUCAUGCAAGAGCAACUGCUGCCGUUCUGCCUGAGCAGUGAGAAGUGUCAAUAAUAGCCACCAUAAGCAGAAGAUAAUCCAUCAGCUACUACUGUGAGCUUGAGUAUAUCCGAAGCUGCACUGGUCAGCAUGGGCUUGCAAACAGAGGAGCCAAUGUGCAAAUCAGUUGAGUCACGCUACAUCUCUGCUGGCAAACCUUGUGAAGAAACUGCAGACAAAUUUAGGAAUAUCCUUUCAGUCUUCCAUGAACUCAUCUUGUCAGGGCAUGUGCUGCUGCAGGAAUCAUGAGGUAAGAGGCUGGACUCACCACCAAGACUGUCCGUUCUGCUGAAUUCAGCCACGUAACACACUCUGAAUGUGAUAUCAAGAGCUGUUUUGUUUUCUUUGUAAUGUUUGUUGUAUGGCCACAUGGCCUGCAAGUCCAGACUGAAAAAAGAUCUUUAAAUAUAUGAAACAAACCACUUGCAAGCAGGCUGCAAUUUAAAGCUCUGUAUAAAUAAGCGUAACUUAUUGAAACAACUUCACAUACCCAUUACAAUGGGAAAACUGUUGUCUUAUAGAUAGAAGUUCAAAACAGGGAGAGAUUGAAUGAAUAUUGUUACGGGUUAGUCACUUUGUCUUAUUGCAGACACAUUUAGUAACUAGAAAUAGAAGAGGCUUUGACAUGUCACACACAGAGGCAGUAUCUUGAAAUAACUCUCAAAAUAAUACUUUAGCUUUGAUGCUGCCAGUAUGAAACAACUCCCAACUCAUUUCCUAAAAUAUUGGACACUGCAUGACCUUGUAAGCCACAAAAACAUAACUCUAAUAAGUACCGUGGGCAACAAAAGUAAUUUCAUCACGAUUUACAGAUUUACAGACAUUCGUCAUGGCUUUUAUUGGAGAAAAUUAGGAUGACUUAUGGAGAUAAUUCCACGUGCCCUGUGUGUCAGCUGCAUGUAUUAGUGUAUUAGCAAACUUUUUGAAGCCUUACCUAAUGAUAGAAAGACCACCUGAAGUGCAGUGCAAGCAAACACUUUCCUGCCCUCUCCUGCUGAGUCAGUGCACGGCAUUUGUUUGCAUAUUUGGAGUGUGUCAUGGUUUAACAGCAACUAAGCAUCAUAAAGCCACUUGCUUAGUCCUCCCUAGUGGAAUGGGUAAAGUGAAAGAACUCCUGAGUUAAGAACAGUUUAAUAGGUAGAGCAGAGUCUACCCAUAAAGCAAAGCAAAACAAGGAAUUCAGUCAUCACUUCCCGUGGACAGGCAGGUGUUCAGCCAUCCCCAGAAAGCAGUGCACCAUCAUGUGUAACUGUGACUUGGAAGACAAAUACCCUCAUUUCAAAUGCCCCCUUUACUCCUUUUUCCCCUCUCUUUAUAUACUGAGCACAGCAUCAUAUGGUCUGGGAUAUCCUUUGGGCCAGUUGGGGUCAGCUGUUCUGGCUGUGUUGCCUCCCAACUCCUUGUGCACCCUCUGCCCAUUCUCUGGUGGGGUGGUAUGAGUAGCAGUAAAGGCCCUCACACUGCUCAGCAGUAGUAAGAACAUCCCUGAGUUAUCAACACACUUUCCAGCGUGAGUCUAAAACAUUAACGCUAUCCCAGCCAAAACCGGCACAGGAGAAGAACCUGACCUAAACACGAAGCACUAAUCUUAAGAGUUUUAUGUUCUCACUGCAAAUGGGGCUGUGGUGAGAAGUCUCUGCAGUGGCUGAAUCUUAAACAUUCUUACUUGGCAGCAUCUUUGGGAGAGAUUGUCACAAAUAUUGUCCAAGAUGCCACUUUUUUUUAAAAGUAUAUUUGGGUAGAUAGAGGAGGCCCUUGAAUUCUGGAGAAGAAUUAUGGCUUUGAAGAUGCUUCUUGAGAUGUAGGAGAUAUAAUGAGAAAUUUUUAACAUGCAGCGUGGCCCGAAGUGCCUACUGGUCUGGGCAACAAAUCCUGUUUUAAAAUAAUUCCUCUCCUGACUCAGGUGUGAGAAGCUCUAUCAACAGUAGCAACAUUGGGAGCUCAUUAGUGCUAUCUAUUAUUAUUCUUUCAAUAUUUGACAAAUAAAAGGGUUCAACAAGAAA